rnacentral:rRNA from 1 species
GAACCGCGAAUGGCUCAUUAAUCAGUUAUGGUUCCUUAGAUCGUUCUUUUUACAUGGAUAACUGUGGUAAUUCUAGAGCUAAUACAUGCAAAAAGCUCCGACCGUAUGGGAAGAGCGCUUUUAUUAGACCAAAACCAAUGGGGUCGCAAGAUCCCUUUGUCUGGUGACUCUGGAUAACUUUGUGCUGAUCGCAUGGCCUAGAGCCGGCGACGUAUCUUUCAAGUGUCUGCCCUAUCAACUUUCGAUGGUAAGCGAUUUGCCUACCAUGGUUGUAACGGGUAACGGGGAAUCAGGGUUCGAUUCCGGAGAGGGAGCAUGAGAAAUGGCUACCACAUCUACGGAAGGCAGCAGGCGCGCAAAUUACCCACUCCUAGAACGGGGAGGUAGUGACGAAAAAUAACAAUACCGGUCUCUAUGAGGCUCGGUAAUUGAAAUGAGUACAGUUUAAAACCCUUAACGAGGAUCUAUUGGAGGGCAAGUCUGGUGCCAGCAGCCGCGGUAAUUCCAGCUCCAAUAGCGUAUAUUAAAGUUGUUGCAGUUAAAAAGCUCGUAGUUGGAUCUCGGGUACUAGCAUGCGGUACGCUUUAUUGCGUUAACUACAUGUCUGGUCCUAAUCAACCGGUUGGCCGUUGAUGCCCUUUAUUGGGUGUUUUCGGUAGCCGGUACGUUUACUUUGAGAAAAUUAGAGUGCUUAAAGCAGGCCAUACGCCUGAAUAAUGUUGCAUGGAAUAAUAGAAUAGGACCUCGGUUCUAUUUUGUUGGUUUUGUAGAGCAUUGAGGUAAUGAUUAAUAGGGACAGACGGGGGCAUUCGUAUUGCGGUGUUAGAGGUGAAAUUCU